UGGGCCACUGCACCUAGGGCUCCUUUCCACUACCACUUUUUUGGGCCUGCACCCCCUCUUCUCUCUUAAUCUUACGAUUUCAUGGUUUUCCUCUUGUUAAUUAUAAUAGAAAUUAAGGGUUAAUUAGGAUGUUAGAUUAAUUAUAAUAUUAGAAUAAUAGAUUUUAGAAUAUUAGGUUAAUUAGAAUAUUGAAUUUGAUUUUCAUUUUCU
rnacentral:lncRNA from 1 species